rfam:Chlorocebus sabaeus isolate 1994-021 chromosome 17, whole genome shotgun sequence.
CCAAAGGCUCUUUUCAGAGCCAAUCACUUUCUCCAUGAAAAAAGCU